rnacentral:rRNA from 1 species
UAGGGAAUCUUCGGCAAUGGGGGGAACCCUGACCGAGCAACGCCGCGUGAGUGAAGAAGGUUUUCGGAUCGUAAAGCUCUGUUGUUAAGGAAGAACGAGUGUGAGAAUGGAAAGUUCAUGCUGUGACGGUACUUAACCAGAAAGGGACGGCUAACUACGUGCCAGCAGCCGCGGUAAUACGUAGGUCCCGAGCGUUGUCCGGAUUUAUUGGGCGUAAAGCGAGCGCAGGCGGUUAGAAAAGUCUGAAGUGAAAGGCAGUGGCUCAACCAUUGUAGGCUUUGGAAACUGUUUAACUUGAGUGCAGAAGGGGAGAGUGGAAUUCCAUGUGGAGCGGUGAAAUGCGUAGAUAUAUGGAGGAACACCGGUGGCGAAAGCGGCUCUCUGGUCUGCAACUGACGCUGAGGCUCGAAAGCGUGGGGAGCGAACAGG